AUUGAACGCUGGCGGAAUGCUUUACGCAUGCAAGUCGAACGGCAGCACGGACUUCGGUCUGGUGGCGAGUGGCGAACGGGUGAGUAAUGUAUCGGAACGUGCCCAGUCGUGGGGGAUAACGUAGUGAAAAUUACGCUAAUACCGCAUACGAUCUAUGGAUGAAAGCGGGGGAUCGCAAGACCUCGCGCGAUUGGAGCGGCCGAUAUCAGAUUAGGUGGUUGGUGGGGUAAAGGCCCACCAAGCCAACGAUCUGUAGCUGGUCUGAGAGGACGACCAGCCACACUGGAACUGAGACACGGGCCAGACUCCUACAGGAGGCAGCAGUGGGGAAUUUUGGACAAUGGGCGGAAGCCUGAUCCAGCCAUUCCGCGUGCAGGAUGAAGGCCCUCGGGUUGUAAACUGCUUUUGUACAGAACGAAAAGGUUUCUACUAAUACUAGGAGCUCAUGACGGUACUGUAAGAAUAAGCACCGGCUAACUACGUACCAGCCGCCGCAGUAA
rnacentral:rRNA from 1 species